GACGAACGCUGGCGGCGUGCUUAACACAUGCAAGUCGAACGGAAAGGCCCUGCUUUUGUGGGGUGCUCGAGUGGCGAACGGGUGAGUAACACGUGAGUAACCUGCCCUUGACUUUGGGAUAACUUCAGGAAACUGGGGCUAAUACCGGAUAGGAGCUACUGCUGCAUGGUGGGGGUUGGAAAGUGUCGGCGGUUGGGGAUGGACUCGAGGCUUAUCAGCUUGUUGGUGGGGUAGUGGCUUACCAAGGCUUUGACGGGUAGCCGGCCUGAGAGCGUGACCGGCCUCAUUGGGACUGAGAUACGGCCCAGACUCCUACGGGAGGCAGUAGUGGAGAAUAUUGCACAAUGGGCGGACGCCUGAUGCAGCAACGCCGCGUGCGGGAUGACGGCCUUCGGGUUGUAAACCGCUUUCGCCUGUGACGAAGCGUGAGUGACGGUAAUGGGUAAAGAAGCACCGGCUAACUACGUG
rnacentral:rRNA from 1 species